GUACCCGGGAGCUACUAGGCAGGCACUCGCGGCGCCGGGCGUCUCCGGGUCCCUCUGCUCCACCAGGCGGCCGCGACGGUGGAGCUUGGCCUCUCGCUCUCUCCCGCCUCCCGCAGCGACUGCUCUGCUCUGCCCGGCGCGGAGGUCGGAUCGAGAGGUUCCUGGAAAGUGAAAAUUUCAUUUCUUUGUGGACAGGCACCUAAAACAUCUCAUAAUUCAUCAAUUAAUGAAAAGCAAAUGAAAAUUUGAGAGAGAUAUUCUGAAGAAUAAAAGGAUCAAGUUGGGUCAUUUCUAAAAUGGCCUGUGCCUACUGUAAAGAUGACCCACACAUGAUGUCUGCCUUGCCGGAGUUGGUGUUUAGCGAUAAUAAGAGAUGCAUACCUGAAAAGCCUAUUUAAGACUCCUCCAGUUCUACAAAGAAGGCUUCUUGAAAGUGACGGAGUCUCGCACUGUCGCCCAGGCUGGAGUGCAGUGGCCGGAUCUCAGCUCACUACAAGCUCCGCCUCCCAGGUUCCCGCCAUUCUCCUGCCUCAGCUUCCCGAGUAGCUGGGACUACAGGCGCCCGCCACCUCGCCCGGCUAGUUUUUUGUAUUUUUUAGUAAAGACGGGGUUUCACUGUGUUAGCCAGGAUGGUCUUGAUCUCCUGACCUUGUGAUCCGCCCGUCUCGGCCUCCCAAAGUGCUGGGAUUACGGGCUUGAGCCACCGCGCCCGGCCAAAGAAGUAUUUCUUAAAGAAGCAAAUGCUCGAUCUCCAAGUAAAUUUUAUUCUCUGCUCUUCCAGUAUAAGAAUACGCUAAUAUCUUGAAAAAUAUAUUAUUUUGUGAACUCAUGAAGCUAUUUGAGUUUUUGUAAAAUGAAAACCUUAUGAAAAUGUAUUUUAUUAUUGGAAAGCUUGACCAUUACUGCGAUUUAAUUUUUUAAGCUUGUAAACUUUAUUUGUGCAUAUUUUCAGCAAAGAAGGAUUUUAUUGUUAUUACAUAAAAUAGGCGAUUUCUACAUUUUAAAAUCACAAAUUGAAAGUAAGGCACAAUAAAGUAUAUUUCAAGAUAUAGGUACUCAGGAGGCAUCCUUUUAAUCAUCUGUUCAAUGUAGCCAUCUAUUUUAUACCUACUGUCUACUAUUGUUUGAGGUCCUUGCCAAAGUAUUACAGGCUAGUUAGGAAACAUAAAACAAUUAGAAAGUAAUAUUUGAUGAGUAAGCUAUCUAUAAAUGGCAAUGAAGGGUAGAAUAAAUUCAAUGAAAAUAUUUAUUUAAUCCUAGUGUUUAUAGGUCUAGAAGAAUAGGCUGAGUAAAUUAGUGUUUCUCUGGCUGUUGUGGUAACACAUUGCAUGCUGUAACAGUUUUAAGUAAUUACAGUUGCAUUAAAAUUUAUCUAUGGCUUUGUCAUUAUAUUCUAAAAUGUCAUGAGUACUUUUUUCUGACCUCAAUUACUGUGAAAUUGGUUUCCCAUAUUUAAUUAACCAAGAAUAUCAAGAUGAUAGGGUGUUACUAAAGUGAGACAUCUGUAGCCUUUUCAAUAAAGACCAGAAUUUUGGAGUGCCUUGAGCCCUAAUCAUUGAUCCUUAAUUCUUAUUAAGUCAACUGCCCACCUUUUAAAGACUGAGGCCCAGGAAGAGUAAGUUUCUCUGAGACAAUGUGUACAGUACAGUGGUUCUUGGGUAUUGGCUCUAAGACCAGAUACAAAGAAAGGCUAAAGUUCCAUUUCAUGACUCAUGAGGUGAGGGCCCUUUGUUAAGCUGUAUAACCUCUGUGCAUAGUUUCCUCAUCAGCAAAGUCAGAAAAAGUAUGUACCUAAAGGACUGAUUGUAAGGCUUGGAUGAGAGAAUCCAUGUGAUCAGCCCUCACCAACAGGUGCUGCCCAGUUCAUGAGUGCUGCUGCUGUCCUGCCCAAGUACCCAGCUUGCAGGAGUGCCGGAAUUAGAGUCCCAGGGGUGUUCUCCACGGCCACAUACGUGAUCCAGGUCUAUCAGGUGAGUUGGCUCUUUGCUAGUGGUUUUUCUUCUCUUGCUGUACAAGAGUCCAGACAGUAAUGUCUUUCUUUCAUUUUUAUAGAUAUAUUCCAUUGAAAGUCCUCAUUCUCAAAUUUAAAACAAAGACUCUUUGUGUACCUCAAUAGCAAUGUACACACAGUUGGCUUCACAAACAUACUGUACAUUUCUAUUUUUCUCUAUUUAUUCAACAAAUGUAUAUUGACUACCUACCAUGUGACAGGUGUUGUUUGUUGGCAGAACCAGGCAUCAUCAGCAAACAAAACUGACAAAUCUUCCUGCCCUCUGUGGAAGGCAUCUGAGGAAGAGACUGGAUUUUGUAGCAACAUGUUAUUCUCAUUAUAAACUUUAUUAUUGGAAUACUAAAGCCAAAUCAUCCCCCAUCUCCUUGAUCAGGGUACCCACCUAAUCCAGGCAGCUACACAAUUGUGAGAGUCCUUGUUUUUUUCUGCUGAAACAUCCUUAAAAGGAUACCUCACAAUCCAAGAUUUGGCUUUUCUUAAAUAUGAUUUUUAAUUUUUUUCAUUUCUAUCUAGAGAUUUAAUUGGAAAUGGAAAAUCAUCAAUUUUCCAAUUAAAUAUCUGCUCCAAUCAACAUUAUACCUUUUAGGUUGUCAUUGUCAUGUUUAAGUUUAAGCAACUUUAAGGAUUUUGAAUCUGGCUGCCUGUAAAUUAAAGGUGAAAGUAAUUGUGUUGCAUUGGUACAUUUUGUCAAUUGAGACUGGUUAGCUUGUUCUUAGUGUACGAAAAGUUUAUUUUUCUAAUGUAGAUUAAUAAAGGAGAUAAAGAAAAACAAAAUUAAUGAUUUAUGUGGAUGAGAAAAUAAUCAUUUCCUUAAGGAUUAAAUAAAAUUCAUACCUUUUGUUUCUUUUGAAAAGUUUUUAAAAUAAAUUUUAAUGUGUCCUUUAAAUAUUCCUUUAAAAAUAUAUCCUAUUUUAAAAUAUACUCUCUCAGAGAAGGAAUUGAUAUUGAUACCUGUGUUUGAAAUAAAAAAUAGCAUGCAUGAGGACUGUUUUUCUAGUUGGCUGAAGCUUUUUCCCUUUCUCCUUUACAUCAGUGAACCAGCAUCUUGCCCUUCAGACCCUACAGCACACUCUUGGGCUCAUGAAGUGUAUGACACAUCCUCCUUGGAGGAUCGGCCAUGUCCUCGCUCUCAUGACCACAUGAAUUCUUCUGUAUGUCUUUUCUCACAGCUGAGUACUCCUUUCCUGACCCCCUUGUGGAGUGGGGAAAGGAGGCUCUGACAUUAUGCUUGUGCAAACAUAAUCUAGAGUUUUCUGAGUCUCCUGCAUCUUCAUAAAUGAUUUUUUGUUUUAUGCUGGGACAGUAGUUCUUUAAAUAGAAUAUUCUCCCAAGGAAAUCGCCCACAAUGCUGAGAGUACACCUUGCAAAGGUAAGUCUAGAACAUAGGGUGCCUCCUCAGCAUUGCCCAGAAGCUGAAGUUAGGACUCUCUGGAAUACCAAAAACAAAUUUAUAGCAGUUCAUGAGUGUAAGGAAUUAUGAACACCAUGUGCACCAUUAUCCAUAGAUGAAACAAAGAGCCACCACGCGAGUACAGACACAAAGCCCUGAAGAGGAAGCCAUUGACGGGGCUCUCAUUUAUUCUGUAGAAACCCACUUGCCUGUUUUUGAACCAGUUUUCUUUGGAGCAUAUGUCUCACUGUGCAACCAAAGUGGUGUUUAUAUCCUAGUCACUUGGGAAAAAUUCUGUCAUUGCUUUUUAGGCCUGAAGCGUGGAGCUGGUAAUAGAUGGGAUUUGGUACUUCCGAAGAAAAGACCCUACUGCAAAUUUAGAGAGUUAAUUUUUUCUUUUGUUCACCAUAAUAUUAUUGUUAGAUGGAACUACCUUUUUUGACUAGAAGUUAAAUAUAGAGGCCUAAAUCAGUUUGGUAACUCCCACUCAUUCUAAAUGAGAACAUGUUUGUUUCUCUCCAAUGAGAUGGGAAAUAUUUGAGGCUCUUCAUGGUAUCUCUAUCACCCACUGCAUUUUUUCAUUUGAUGUGUAUUUCCCCAUGUAUUUGAGAUCAUUUUCAAAUAAUUGCCCUAUAGAAAUCUACUUGAUAUUUAAUGUAAAAAAAAGCAAGAUGCAAAAUUAUUAUAGGAUGCAUUUACAGAAAUUACAAAAUUUCUGUAAACUAUUUAUGGAGGAAAACUUGCAGAGUAUAUGUCAACACAUUGCUUUAUUAUUGUCCUUGGUUAUGAGUUUGGUUUUCUGAAACCUGCUUUGUAGUUUUGGUGUUUUCUCAUCAUUGGUACAAUCGAGGCAUUUUUCCCUCUUCUUCAAUCUUGCAAAUCACACGUGAGGAUGCUCAUAGAAGUGCCUCUCAGAUAGGCUGUUGUUUUGCUUACACCAAUAAAUCAUUUAUAAUUAGAAGUAGAAAACUUUUCUUCCCUGUGCAAAUACAUCCCUUUCAAAAGCAGUUCUCUUUUUUGUGAAUGAUGUCUAGGGUCUAAGAAACUAGGGUAACCUUUAUUAUAUGCAUUGCUCUAAUUAAAGCAUUGUUUUGUAUAGUGAACUCAAGGUUACAUGUUUAAGAAAAGCAUCGGGUUAAUUCCAUCAGGAAAAUUGUCUUAUUCAUAAACCUUUAGCCGUUGGAAAAACACCAUUAGGAGGCCACGCAGAUGUGUAUAACUGUAUAGAAUUUGACAACCAGCAAAACACAACAAUAGCCUACGUUUGCAGAGUGCUGUCUGUUUAAAAACCAACAUAUCUUUCACCAACAAAUACAUAUUCACCUCAACACGAGACUUUCAUGUGGUUAUUAAUAUCAGAUUUUUGAAUGUCUAAAUUUUGGAGUGUAGUCUACAAGAGGUAAACUGAUUUGCCUAAGGUCCUUCAAUUGACAGAGGUAGAAUUAUUUUCUGUCUCCUGGCUCUGAAAACCUGUCAAGAUCCUCUUGCAACACUGUCCUUCAAAAACACACUUCUGCUGACUCCAAUGCUGGUGAUGUCAUGCUUUAGCUAGUAGUUAUCUGUGACUUAACUUUAAAUAUGGAAUCUUUUUUUCCUAUUAAGCAAUGAGGUUUAGUUUGAAAAUUCUUAGAGAUGAUAAACUCCUCUCCUUUUUUCCUUCCUUCUCCUCUUUUGUCCUGAACAAUGUUCCAUAUAUGUUACUGCCAGAAACAGAUUCUUGACAUUCCUGUUAUGCUUUUCCUACCUUGUAAUCAUUUCUACAGCUGUUAGCAUUGCCAACAAUUAUAUUUCCACUUUUAAAAAAUUGUUACAAAGAUGCAGAGAGAAAAGAGGAAAGCCAAGGAAUAAACUACAAGCAAUUACAGGAUAUUUUUGUGAUGUGACAUUUUGGGAACUCAGGGGUAAUGCAUCACUGAUACUGCACUACUUUUUAAUACCUAGAUUUUAAUAUUUUGUAUGAAGAUAAAAAUUCACAUGCCUUAAACCUGACCACAACAUAAUAGGGCAUUUAUUUUUCUAAUUUUCAUACCAUCCACAUUCCUUAACUAUAAGAAGAAUGCUUAUGUUGUACCAGGUAUAUGAUGGUGCCAAGAAGUAGAUGUGUACAAUUUACUAAUACAUCCUUUUGGAAAAUGCAUAUUAAUAACAUAUUAAGGAGUAAAUUGACAUUGUGCAAAGUGAGCCCGUGAGUUUAAAUGUAUGGAUUGUACACCUUGCUCUUCCCAAUUGCACAUUUAACGGGAUUUGAUGACCUAAUGAGUUUAUUUCUGAAUGAUUUAUAUUUCUUUGUCAGUUUAAUGAUUUAGUAUUUUAAAUAUUCCUAAAUCACAUUUUAUUGAGAUAUGCUAUUACUGUUUCUUUCCCAUCACUUAACAAAGUUAAGUCACUCCUCUCGCACCCCACUUUUGUACCUACCAAUGUUUUUUGACAGUUACAGGCUGAUUGGCUUGACAUGUCUUAGGAUACCCACCCAAAGAGAGCUUCAUUUUAUAAAUACCAAGCUCAUUUUCCUAAAUAUUUUCAAAAAGAUGGAAUUUAUCCUCAUAUGGUGUAUUCAGAUUAAUAAUUUCAGAAAGGGUCAUGUGACCAUGGUAUUACAUAGCUGUGGAAGUCCCUCCAAGAUCUUGUUUUGGGAUAGAAGGACUCAGACAUCCCAACUUUUAAAUUAAUGAACUUACUAAAUUCUAAAACUUUGUAACAGUGUUAAUUUGAGAUGUGUGUUUUGCCUAAGGUGUGUUUUGCUUUGCAAAAUGCAUCUCCUUCAUUUUCAUAUUAUGUUGGAAGCUUAGCGUGAAAGAACAUGCCUCAGAGGGAAACCAUAGGUAAGCAUAUGUUGACAAAAGUUAGUGUCAUCAUGUUUUUGUCUUUGCCUGUGGUUUUUUAAGUGUAUAAUGUUUAAUGUUGAUUUGGCUAUCAAAUUACAUUUUCUUUUGUUAAAAAAUUCUGUAAAUUAGAAAUGUACUGAAUCAUUUAUUUAGCAGACCGAAGGUGGGUAACGAUGGCUAAAAGGUUUAAGCUACAGUAAUUUGAAAACGAAAAUACAUAAAAUAAUGUCCUUUCUCUUCUACUCAAUGUUUCUUCACCAAAUAAAGUCCAGCCUGCUCUGAAUUUGUUGCCAGUAGGACCAAUGUUCCAGUGAAUCAUGGUUUAAUAUACCUUGAAAAUGGCACAUCUGUUCUGCGAUAGCAUACCAAUUUUAGCCUCUUUAUAAAAUAUGAAGAGUUUGUCAACCAGAAUAAUCUAGAACCUGGCAAUUCAAAUACUAUUCAAAGCAAAUGUUUUAUCUAAUAACUAGAACUAAAUGUUAGGCCUCAUGACAGUUCAACAUUUACUAAACAAGUUUAAUAACAGGGUAAGCCCUCAGUAUCCAGAGCAGAGAUAAGCACACCAUAUUUACAUAUACAAAUUCUGCCUUUAGCCAUCUGAAGGGGCCCCGAACUAUUGCAGCCAGCAGAGAGUCUUUGCAUUGUCCUAAAAUCCAUACUAUAUGUUUUACACAUUUUAAUAGCUAGUUUAAUAAAAAGUACCAUUCUUAAUUCUCUGCAUGCAUUAUUUCAAGUAAUUAUUGGAAUAAUCUUAUAAAGUGGGUACUUUUUGUCUCAGCUUACAGGUGAGAAAAGUUAAAUAGAUCACCCAGGGCUCUGCUAGAACGUAUUGAGCAUGGAUUUCAGCCUGUUCAGUCAGAUCCCAGAAGUUGUGUUCUUAACCAUUAGUAACACAUCAUCCCAGGCAGGCCCUACAUGAGCCUCAUAACCAAUUUUAUGCUGGAUAAUAUUAUCCCUAUUUCACAGAUGGCAAAACUGAGGUCCAGAGACUUUAAGGGACCUACUCAAGAUUACAGUCAUGAGCAGCGGCACUGGGAUGUAGGGUCCUGGCACUCUACCUCACGUGGUCCUCUUUCCUUUUUUGGGUAGGUCUCUACUACCACUACUCAUUUCUGAUGCUGGAAAGGCUGUGUUUUAUACAUUUCUGUUUCUGGCUUGGAACGAAACACUCUCUGGGUCUCUGCUUGAUCAGUGAUCCCUCUAAACUGCACCCCACUACAGCAGGGAUGGCAUAAACUUCUUUACACAGCAUCUUUUUGUUCCCACCUCACCCCCAGAGCUGUAAUAAGUAGAGCCUGCCAAAUGUCAAAGAGAUGAUUUGUCUUGUCACCACUAGUUUCCCUUUUCUCUGCCUUGUAUGUAACAGGAAUAUUCUUUAGUUCCCCCUUAUGUUCUAAAGCAACUUCCCAACCUAAAAAUAGAAAAGGAGCUGUGAGUCAUUUACACCUUAGUGUGAAUGUGCUCUUGUGACUGUGCCAAGGCUGUUGUGCCUAACUCUUUUAAUGUAACAGCAGAAUGAGAGUCUCUGGAUUCUCCUUGCUCCUUCCCUGAGAAGAAUGAAGUGGGAAUUGUUGGUCUAGACAUCAAGACUACCAGAGACCUAUUGCUCAGAGAUGUUUGGGCUGUACAAUUGCUGUAGAUAUGCAUCUGGAGCAGCCUUUUCUGAGCAAUGGCAUUAUCAGUCCAGGUUCUCUCACUCUUUCCAUCUCUCCACUUGACCCAGGUGGACUCUUGCCCUCCACCCCUUCCAACUUGUCAGUGAUUCAGAGAACAUUCUCCAUCCUUCGAAUAAUUACAUUCCUUCAUCUUGCGGGGGACCCAAUUCAGUGAUGGAGCGGCUCUUGGGAGCAGCCUUGGCUUAUAGUGCAGCUCUCUGCUAUCUUCAACAGGCUGGUAUUCGGGGAGCUUGGAUGUAACUGGUUGCACACUCGUGUGUGUAUGUGCAUGUGUGUAGAGCAGUAAAAGCCUUCAAGGUAGAUGCUCAAGGAAGCCUCAGACAUCUAGCCCCAUUACUGGGGCAAUGUCUUACUUGGGUUUUUCCAGAAACAGACCUGGAGACCAGGAUUCAAGUGCCACUGGUAUAUUUGGGAUGUGACUCCUGCAGUGCUGGUAGGAGAGUGGAGAAGCGAGGCAAGGAAAGGAAGGCUGUCAAGGAGCAUGUUAGGAAGUCAUUCACCCCCGCAGGCAGCCCGCUGAGGACCUCUGGGAGGAAGUGUGGCACACAAGCCUCAGCAUUGCUGCCCUGUGCCUUGAGGGGUAAGGGAUGAGGAUUUUCCCCACCGGUUCCCUAUAGUCCUUGGUGAGAGCUUCUGGGGUGGAGGUUAAGGCCUAUAGGUCAGAGAAAUUUUCUUUAGUUUAGGAAAAACCUUUCAGGCCAAAGUCCAGACACUCACUGGAACACACUGAAGUGGUUAGGUCCAAGGGCUGUAGGCAGAGCUCCCAUAUGCUUCUGCAGAGGUGUUUCAGGUGGAAGGAGUAGAGAGAGCCUUCUCUGCUUGCCACCGUCUUCAGCAAGGGUUUCUGUAUCUGUGCAUUGAGAAUUAAAUUAUUCACAUGGUCAGAGAAGCCUAUCACCACUGAUAAUUAUUGUAGGUAUGGAAAACUAACGACUCAGAAGGGAGAAAAAAAUACCAAGCAAUUGGUUUGGCUGAACACAAGUAAAGACUCUCACAGUCACUGAUGUGAACUGCUUAUUAUCAAUGUCUGAUUACAGUGCUGCAUACUAAUGAUUAUGCGUGUCAUUAAAUGUGUCAGAUUAACUUUGUUAUAAAAUUUAUGACAACAUUAAAUUUUAUUACAUGCUCAGCCUUCAUAAUUUAUUGCUUCUGUAGCAUGGUUAUAACUUCAGAAAAACCUCCAAGACAGUGUUGUCUUGAUGACUACACUGCUUAUCAGUGAGUCUAGUUUCCCUGUUCAUGUAAAAUAUUCACAUUACAUGACAUUGUCACCAGCUCUGUCUCAGGCACUAGCAGUGCCCAAGUGAUUCCACUUGCCCAGUGAUUGAGGCUGGGGAGAUUACUCCCCUCUCUUUGUGAAUUAUCUUGCUGUGUAUUAUUGAUUAAUUCAACCAACUCUUAUUUAACCCUAACCAUGCAACAUGCAUUGUGCAGGUGGUGUAGAUUUAGAAUAUGGAUUAGAACCUGAUUCCGUCCUCAAAGAGCUCCUGAUCUAGUAGAGAAUCACAUCACUUUAUAGAUGAUUGUUCAAGAAGGAAACUUGUUCAAACAUGAAUAAAAGACUGUGCAUCUUCUGACUUUGUAGGUGUGGAAUAACAAAGCUGUUCCUUUAUUUGGUUUCCAGAAAACAUCUCCAAAGCUAUACCAGUCAUCAUGUUGUGCUUUCAGAAAUAUAUCCCACCAAGGAUGUACCGUCAAAUUACUGUGUUGUAGAAUUACUUAGAAUUGUUCCUCUGUGUGUAGCUAUACCACCAACUGCUUAUAUAGUUAGGUUCACUUGCUUUAUUUUGCUUUACAUUUUUAAUAAUUCAUUUUUAAAUGAAAUUUAAUUUAUCAUUAUAAAAAUAUUUACAUGAUUACAAAGUCAAACUGACAAAGCAAGAGCUAUUCAAAGUCCAGCAUCCCCUCACUUCUAUUUUCCUAUAAAUGACCAUUUAAAUAUAUGAUUUAUCCUUUCCCUUUUUAUAUAAGAAAAUGUGUUGACAUACUUUUCUCCUCUGUGUCAUUCUUAUUUGGUAUAUCCUGCCCGGUGAUGACCUCAUGAUGACAAAUACAAGUCUUUGUAUUGGGCUUCUGGCUGUAAGUACCAAAUAAGGACAGCAAACGAGUGUUUAAUAGAUACCUGCAGAUUCUCACUCCUCUCUCUCAUAUGCCACAGCUGGUCUGUCAGGAUAUAACUUCAACUCCAAAACCUGAUCCCUUCUUACCACCUCACUGCCACCAUCAUGGCCCAGGGAGAUCACCUACUGCUGGGAUUAUCACAGUGGCCUCCUUACUGUUGUCCCUGUCUCUCCUGCUCCGUGACCUGUGCUUUGUUCUCAAUACAGCAGCCAUCAGGCCCAGGAGAGCAAGGAUCUUCUCAUGGUGACCAGAGCAUUACUUCUUCCUCCACCAUGUCCCGAUGGCUCUGGAAGUAAGAGAUGAUGAGGGCCAUGUGGUACUUCUUUCCAUCAGGUAGACAGCUGACAGAUAUAAUAAGUGCUUGCAGUUUAUAUAAUGUUUAUUGUGUUAAUAUAAGCUUUGCAUAUAUCAAUUAAGUCCUUUAAUCCCUACAGCAACCCAGCAAGGAUGGUUUCACAAUUUUCCUAAUAUUAGAGAUGAAGCCAUUGAGACACAGACGGAUUUCAAAAUUGCUUACAACCAAGUAGUUCACAAGUGGUAGAGUUGGGAUCAGGAUCCAGGGAGUUUGGCUCUAGAGUCCAUGCUUUAAGCCAAUGCUGUCCAAUAGAACUUUCAGUGAUGAAGGAAGUAUUCUGUAUCUGUGCUGUCCCAUCUGGUCACCUCUAGCCACAAAUAGCUAUUGAGGACUUGACAUGUGGCUAGUUCAACUGAGGAACUGAGGAACUUUUUUUUUUUUUUUUUAAA